GCUGGGUGUGGUGGCUCAUGCCUGUAAUCCCAGCACUUUGGGAGGCCGAGGUGGGUGGAUCACCUGAGGUCAGGAGUUCGAGACCAGCCUGGCCAACAUGGUGAAACCCCAUCUCUA
ensembl:misc_RNA Metazoa_SRP Metazoan signal recognition particle RNA